GAUGAACGCUGGCGGCGUGCCUAAUACAUGCAAGUCGAGCGAACGGACGAGAAGCUUGCUUCUCUGAUGUUAGCGGCGGACGGGUGAGUAACACGUGGAUAACCUACCUAUAAGACUGGGAUAACUUCGGGAAACCGGAGCUAAUACCGGAUAAUAUUUUGAACCGCAUGGUUCAAAAGUGAAAGACGGUCUUGCUGUCACUUAUAGAUGGAUCCGCGCUGCAUUAGCUAGUUGGUAAGGUAACGGCUUACCAAGGCAACGAUGCAUAGCCGACCUGAGAGGGUGAUCGGCCACACUGGAACUGAGACACGGUCCAGACUCCUACGGGAGGCAGCAGUAGGGAAUCUUCCGCAAUGGGCGAAAGCCUGACGGAGCAACGCCGCGUGAGUGAUGAAGGUCUUCGGAUCGUAGAACUCUGUUAUUAGGGAAGAACAUAUGUGUAAGUAACUGUGCACAUCUUGACGGUACCUAAUCAGAAAGCCACGGCUAACUACGUGCCAGCAGCCGCGGUAAUACGUAGGUGGCAAGCGUUAUCCGGAAUUAUUGGGCGUAAAGCGCGCGUAGGCGGUUUUUUAAGUCUGAUGUGAAAGCCCACGGCUCAACCGUGGAGGGUCAUUGGAAACUGGAAAACUUGAGUGCAGAAGAGGAAAGUGGAAUUCCAUGUGUAGCGGUGAAAUGCGCAGAGAUAUGGAGGAACACCAGUGGCGAAGGCGACUUUCUGGUCUGUAACUGACGCUGAUGUGCGAAAGCGUGGGGAUCAAACAGGAUUAGAUACCCUGGUAGUCCACGCCGUAAACGAUGAGUGCUAAGUGUUAGGGGGUUUCCGCCCCUUAGUGCUGCAGCUAACGCAUUAAGCACUCCGCCUGGGGAGUACGACCGCAAGGUUGAAACUCAAAGGAAUUGACGGGGACCCGCACAAGCGGUGGAGCAUGUGGUUUAAUUCGAAGCAACGCGAAGAACCUUACCAAAUCUUGACAUCCUUUGACAACUCUAGAGAUAGAGCCUUCCCCUUCGGGGGACAAAGUGACAGGUGGUGCAUGGUUGUCGUCAGCUCGUGUCGUGAGAUGUUGGGUUAAGUCCCGCAACGAGCGCAACCCUUAAGCUUAGUUGCCAUCAUUAAGUUGGGCACUCUAAGUUGACUGCCGGUGACAAACCGGAGGAAGGUGGGGAUGACGUCAAAUCAUCAUGCCCCUUAUGAUUUGGGCUACACACGUGCUACAAUGGACAAUACAAAGGGCAGCGAAACCGCGAGGUCAAGCAAAUCCCAUAAAGUUGUUCUCAGUUCGGAUUGUAGUCUGCAACUCGACUACAUGAAGCUGGAAUCGCUAGUAAUCGUAGAUCAGCAUGCUACGGUGAAUACGUUCCCGGGUCU
rnacentral:rRNA from 1 species